rnacentral:lncRNA from 1 species
CUCAGCCUGGCAACUCCUCACGGGGCUACUGAAGAAAUAAGGGAGAGAAAUGAGAAAGGAUUUCCUACCAGAGGCCCGGAGCUGCAAAAGUCCUUAUUUCUUCUAUAAACCCAAAGAUCAGCCAACAAAUAGAGCAGCUGGUAUGGUUUUGUUUGCAAAGGGUCUGCUCUUAAUUGCCUCCUGGAUGAGUGACAGACUUCCCUUUUGCCAGGUUCUUUCACGAACAUCACAUGCUGCCAAUCCUGACACUGGUACAACAAGUGGCUCGAUGGGUAUCCUCAAUGUCAUUUGACAGAAAAGACAACUGAAAACCAGUCACCUGCCCAACAUCAAACUUCGAGAAAGUGGCGAGUCCUUGAGUCCUCAUGGGAUUCUCUGCCAGCACCACAGAGCGGGUUUAUGAAAUGCGGACAGCAACACUCGGAUUCUGAGAUUCCAACCCAACGGAGACAGUCUUACAGAGCACGUGGUGGCUCCCCUACGAGGUCAGGUCAGGUCAGCCCAAAUCUUCUAUUCUUUCCAGAAACCUCUGGCUGCUUUCACUCCACACCCAGAGCCGCAGCUUCUCUGCGUCACCUGAACCCAGAUGCCACUUGGGGAAGUCGGGACAAGGACUCUCAGGCCCUGAGCUCCUGACCUUGGCAUCAAGUCACCUUGCUGUUGGCACGGCCCUGACCCUGGUGGCCCCAUCUUGAGGGCAUGUUUCUGUCCCAGGUAACCCAGUCUGGGAACCCUGAUUUUGAGCAGUUGAGUUCUUCUCUUGUUAGCCGC